GGUUGAUUAGCUCAGUUGGUCAGAGCGUGGUGCUAAUAGCAAUUGCUAGAAAACGCCAAGGCCGCGAGUUCAAGCCUCGUAUUGACCA